UACAGAGGGGGCAAGCGUUGUUCGGAAUUACUGGGCGUAAAGAGCUCGUAGGCGGCUUGUUGCGUCGGCUGUGAAAUCCCAUGGCUCAACUGUGGGCUUGCAGCCGAUACGGGCGGGCUAGAGUUCGGUAGGGGAGACUGGAAUUCCUGGUGUAGCGGUGAAAUGCGCAGAUAUCAGGAGGAACACCUAUGGCGAAGGCAGCUCUCUGGUACGUGACUGACGCUGAGACGCGAAAAGCGUGGGUAGCAAACAGG
rnacentral:rRNA from 1 species